UUGUGGAGGAAUGCUUACAAAUCCGACAUCACUGACCUUGCACCAACCGAUCAUGGGUGGAAUGAAAAUAAUAAUAAAUUCGAGUUCACGUGGUUUAUCGGGAAUCAAUUGCCCGAUGCGUAUGAAAAUGUUGUUGUAUCGCCGGAUAUUCUGGGCAACGAGAAUGACACUGAGGACAGCAAUGACGAGACGCUUGAUUCAGGCACUCAGCAGGAAAGAAUUGUGGAUGAGGAGCCACAAUAUGAAAGUUCCAGUGAAGAAGAAGAAGAAGAUGAAUUGUAUUGAGCAAAAAUGUAAAAAUCAUACAUAACAAUACAAUUAUAAUCCAAUUUUUAUAUCAUUUCAUUUUUUUAUACAAUAAAUAAUACACUUCGUACUACAUUUCAUCUACAUUUACGUUGGUUGUAUCUAUCGCUUUAUUGUCAUUCUUAAAUUCCCCGUUUUAUCAAGGAGAAAGAAAGGAAAAAAAGAAACCAAAAAACCUUUUUCGGUCAGAUUAAGAGAACCCACCAACAUUUUUGUCAGAUUAAAAAAAUAUGCUUUCAGGAUACCGAGAUAAACCUCCCCUAUGAAAAUCUGACGCGCUCGAGUAUUUCAAAAAAACUUUUUUUUUUGCAUUUUCAAAAAUUCAUCGUAACUUAUCGUCACGCCGAAAUCGUCAGUUUUUUUAAAGGAAGCUUCCUUGGGGCCUACUUAACACCCCUUCCGAAAAUCUGACGCGCUCGAGUAAAUUUUUUUUUUUUGCAUUUUUGAC